AGAUGUGAGGGCGAUCAGGCUGCGACAUCUGUCACCCCACUGAUUGCCAGGGUUGAUUCAGCUGAUCUGCCUGGCUAGGCAGGUGUCCCCUUCCUCCCUCAACGAUCCAUGUGUGUCCCUCCUGAAGCUGCGCACUCAACCACCACCACCACCCCACCACCCUCACCUCCCCCCCAUAGAGGAGGAUUGAUCCUCCGUCAAGGGUAUAGGAGUAGCUGCGCUCCCCUGCUAGAACCUCCAAACAAGCUCUCAAGAAAAGACUACUUGCCAACUGGGCUUGUUCUUAUAGGGCUGGUCUCAGGCAGCCUGCUGGCCUUCAGGAAAAUUCUCUUCUAAGA
rnacentral:sRNA from 1 species